rnacentral:lncRNA from 1 species
UGGCGGUGAUAGUUUUGCUCUUAAGAGGCUCGUUUUUAUACUACCAUUGACUGUGCAAUCCAGCCCUGCAGGGUAGCAUAGAUUAAUAUCAUCUUUGACUCUCAGUAUGCUUUUCCAUAUCGGAGAAUCCUUGGAGCAUAAUUGGAUUUCCGCCAGCUCUCUCCCUUUGAGAUAGCGUGCCCGCAUCCAAAUCGCCCAUGGAGAUCCCCCAUUCCAGAUUCUAUAAGCCCAUUUGACCCUAGC